AGAGUCCCUCCUUUCUCACCUUCCUCUCUCACUGGGCUGUUGAUGUUCCGAGCGAGGCAGAGUAAAGCUGAACAUAUAUUUUUUUUUAGUCCAGGUGUUAGGUCACAGGUGCCCCGUCUUAGGUCACACUACGGGCUCGGAUCAUGCCGCUGUGUAAUCUCGGCCAUCUGUGUGUCUGUGUGUGUGUGUGUGUGUGUGUGUGUGAGGCAGGAAGCGUGGCCUGGUUUCACUGUGUCUUGUUGAGAAGAAAGAUAAAGCGUUGUAAUAAUAUUUUCAUUCAAAUAUUCAUAGACGUAAUAAUUUUUUUUUUCGCUCUUGUCAUUAUAGAAUCUUAGAACUACAUAAGAAAAGCGAUCUAGAUUUCUUCAGUGUGUUGUUAUCCAUCUUUCGUUUCACACACACACACACACACACACACACACACACACACACGUUGGCGAUAAAUAACACUCAAGAAAAAAACAGCUUGAAAUGGUGCGCAAAAAUAGAAGAAAGAGGAAAGGUGAAAAAACACACAACCAAGCAGCAGAGAGGAAACCAUUUGUAGCUUUUAAUUCUGCGUUUUAUUCCUUUGGUGAAGCGAUGAAGCAUCUCUCUCUCUCUCUCUCUCUCUCUCUCUCUCUCUCUCUCUCUCCUUCUCGGUAUUGUUACGGCGAUAAGCUAAACACAAGGACAGACAAACACACAAACACACACACACACACACACACCCUCUGGUCAUCCCUUUUGUUACGAUUUCUUACUUGUGUGUGUGUGUGUGUGUGUGUGUGUGUGUGUGUGUGUGUGUGUGUGUGUGUGUUUUGAUUGCUCGUCUUCAACUUCUAUAAUCACGCUGAUGAUGUUUGCGCACUGAUAUCUUGUUUAUUUUCCUUGUCUGUCUGUCUAUCUAUCUAUCAUUCUAUCUAUCUAUCUAUCUGUCUGUCUGUCUGUCUAUCUAUCAGUCAAUCUCAAUCUCUAGCAGGUCUGGGUGCGAGAGGGAUUUAGGGGUCUUAGUGAGCUCUGAUCUCCGUCCAAGGGCACAAUGCAUUCAAGCUAGAAAUCGAGCUAAUAGGGUACUGGGAUUUAUUUCAAGGAGCGUAAGCAACAGAAGCCCCGAAGUCUUCCUCAACCUAUAUUUAGCAUUAGUUAGACCUCAUCUUGACUGUGCGGUUCAGUUCUGGUCACCUUACUAUAGAAUGGAUAUCAAAAUGUUAGAAUCGGUGCAGAGGAGGAUGACUAAGAUGAUUCAGGGGUUGAGAAACUUGCCAUACGAGGAAAGACUCAAACAGUUAAACUUGCAUUCUCUAGAAAGGCGAAGGGUGCGUGGAGACAUGAUCGAGGUUUAUAAAUGGAUGAAGGGCUUUAAUAAGGGAGAUAUUCAUAAGGUUUAGUUGGUAAGAGAACCGGGUAGGACACGAAGUAAUGGGUUUAAACUGGAUAAAUUCAGAUUCAACAGGGACAUAGGCAAAAAUUGGUUUACCAACAGGGUGGUGGAUGAGUGGAAUAGGCUUAGCAGUCAUGUGGUGAGUGCCAAUACAAUUGUCACAUUAAAAAAUAGAUUAGAUAAAGUCAUGGAUAGCGAUACUAGGGGGGGUUAGAUACACGGGAGCUAAGGGUUAAAGGAGCUGCCUUGUAUCGGCCUACCGGCCUCUUGCAGACUCCCACGUUCUUAUGUUCUUAUGUUCUUAAUAUGGCUUCGGUAAAAAAAAAUAUAUAUAUCAUCAAACAUCUUUAAGUCGUUGAGCUGUUUCUUAUAUUGUAGUAGUGAAAGUAGCAAUAGUAAUAGUAGUAGUAGUAGUAGUAGUAGUAGUAGUAGUAGUAGUAGUAGUAAGCGUAGUAAUAGUAGUAAGCGUAGUAAUAGUAGUAAGCGUAGUAAUAGUAGUAAUCACACUUAUCAGUAAAAACAAUAUUAUCAGUAACAAGAUUAUCACUGGUAAAAAAGAGGGGAACAUAUUGAUAGAGUAGUAGUAGUAGUAGUAGUAGUAGUAGUAGUAGUAGUGGUGGUGGUGGUAGUGUCAGCCUCCCCUCGUCCGCCCCUCAAGGUGUCGGAGAUAAGCGUCGCUCCUGAUUACAUUCCUGGCGGCGCUAAAGGAUGUGAGGAGGCAAUGCUUGUUUAACGCCCACCCCCCUCCCGAACCACCGCACUACUACUACUACUACUACUACUACUACUACUACUACUACUACUACUACUACUACUACUACUACUAUUACUACUACUAUUAUUACUACUACUACUACUACUACUACUACUACUACUACUACUACUACUACUACUACUACUACUACUACUACUACUACUACUACUACUACUACUACUUCUACUACUACUAGGUACUACUAAGACGACGACGAUCAUACUCUUGCUACCAUUAUUCCUUCCAAGUACUACUACUACUAAAAAUUAACAAACACCUACUACUACUACUACUACUACUACUACUACUACUGUCACGAAUUCAAAUACUAACACAAUACCGAAAACAUUUACAAAGGACAUUCAUAAAACAAAUUAAUAACCAUCAAGACUAACAGAAACAUCAGGAAACGAAAGAGUAAAGAAAAAAAAAUCAUAGCACCACUUUUGGCAUUUAUAUAAAAAAAGAAAUAGAUAGGAAAAAAAUAUUAGGGGACAUUCAGAUGGCUAUUAUGAUAAAAAAAAAAAAAUUAUCCACUGACUAACAUCGAUUACAAAAUUUACAACCAAGGCCAGAAAUUACGACACCACUUUCAACACUUAUAUAUAAAAAGUAGAAAAAAACUAACCGGGAAAAUUUCAGACACAAAAAUAUUACAACUCCACAUAUAGAAAUAAUAAAUAAAAGUCCAUAUUCAUUUUUUUCCCAGUUGACGCGUUGCAACACGGACAAUCAGUGUACGUCAAUACGGAAAAAUAUCGUACACGUUCGCUUCGGGUCAAGGCGCCAGAGGGAUGACGACAUGUAUUUUCCCCGAUCUAUUCUUGUUUGUCCUUUUGUCUGCGUCUGUCUGUCUGUCCUUUGGUUGUCUGUUGAAGCGAAGGAUGAAAGGGAGAAGUAAGGAUGGAGGAGGAGCAAAAAUAGAUUAAAGAAGGGAAAGAGGGAAAGAGAAGAAUGAAGGAGAUAGGAAAUAGAGAAAGAGGGAGAGGUUAGAAAUACGGAUAAAGGAAGGGAAAGACUAUAUUAAAGAAAAGAAAGAGGAGGAGAAGGAAAGAGAGAGUAAAGAAAGAGGAAGAAUAGAUUAAAAAAGGGAAAGAAGAGGAGAUGGAAAAAGGAGAAUAAAGGAGAUAGGAAAUAGAGAAAGAGGGAGAGGGAAGAAAUACGGAUAAAGGAAGGGAAAGAAUAUAUUAAAGAAAGGAAAGAGGAAAGGAGGAAGAGAAGGAAAGAGAGUAAAGAAGGUGUUAAGUAAGAGAGAGAUAAAAAGAUAGAGAGAGGGAAGGGAUAGAAGAGAGAUAAAAAAAAUAGGAAAUGGGGGAAGUGGAAGAACAGAUAAAUGAAGGGGAAAAGGGAAGGAGAAGUAGAGGGAAAGGGAGAGAUAAGGGUGUGUGUUUCGUAAUAGAGAUAAGAGAUAGAGAGAGAGAGAGAGAAAGGGAGGAGAGGGAGGAACAAAUAAAAAAAGGGAAAGAGGAAAUAAGUUGGCGGGAGAAAGGGAGAAUAAAUAAGGUGUUUCGUAAUAGAUAAGAUAAUGAGAGGGAGAAAGGGAGGACAAAGAACAGAUAAAGAAAGAAGGGAUGGAGGAAAUAAGUUGGCAGGGAGAAAGGGGAGAGAGAAGGAGGUGGGUUUCGUAAUACAGAUAAGAAAGAUUGGGAGAGAGGGAGAAGGGAGAGGUAAGGACAUUAGAUAAGGAAGGAAGAAAGAAAACGGGUGAGAGGGAAGACCUAAAAAAAUAUAUGAAUUCAUGUUGAUAUUGAGUGGAAAGAGAACGAAAUAUUGAAGGAAGGAUGAAAUAAAUGAAUGAAUGAAGGAAAGAAGAAUGAAAGGAAAAAAGGGAGGAAGGGAGGAAGAAAUGAAUGAAGGAAAGAAGAAUGGAAGGAAAAAAGGAAGGAAGGAAGGAAGAAAUGAAUGAAGGAAAGAAGAAUGGAAGGAAAAAAGGGAGGAAGGAAGGAAGAAAUGAAUGAAGGAAAGAAGAAUGGAAGGAAAAAAGGGAGGAAGGAAGGAAGAAAUAAAUGAAGGAAAGAAGAAUAGAAAGAAAAAAGGGAGGAAGGAAGGAAGGUAUGAAGAAAUGAAUGAAGGAAAGAAGAAUGGAAGGAAAAAAGGGAGGAAGGAAGGAAGGUAUGAAGAAAUGAAUGAAGGAAAGAAGAAUGGAAAGAAAAAAGGGAGGAAGGAAGGAAGGUAUGAAGAAAUAAAUGAAGGAAAGAAGAAUAGAAAGAAAAAAGGGAGGAAGGAAGGAAGAAAUGAAUGAAGGAAAGAAGAAUGGAAGGAAAAAAGGGAGGAAGGGAGGAAGAAAUGAAUGAAGGAAAGAAGAAUGGAAGGAAAAAAGGAAGGAAGGAAGGAAGGUAUGAAUGAAGGAAAGAAGAAUGGAAGGGAAGAAGGAGGGAAGGAAAGAAUAAGGGAGGGAAGGAGUGUAAGUAAGUAUAGGUUAAGAAAGAGCCAGGAGAGGGAGAAGGGCGGAUGUAUUGAUAAGCUAAACUUCAAAUCUAGAACGGAAACACUACUACUACUACUACUACUACUACUACUACUACUACUACUACUCUUACCUGGCUCUUACCUGCUUUACAUGAAUGACUCUAAUUAGGCCUAACGACAGGUGAAUGAGGCAUAUGAGCAGGUAGGGGAGUGACGUCAUCCAGGUGUGUGUGUGUGUGUGUGUGUGUGUGUGUGUGUGUGUGUAGGAAUGGAUUAGGAAAUAGGAGACGGG